AUGGCAGCUCUCCUUUCCCUCCGAUCUGCCCCUCUUGACAGAGAAGUAAACCGAGAACUGUGGAACUGGAAGAGCCACUCCCCACAGGGCAUAUCUUUUGUGGUAUCUGCCCAAUACAUGUUCUGCUCUGUGAACUCCUGGGAAGGAUACCCCAUCCCACCUCCCACCAUGUCAAUGUGCUUGGAGAAGUGGAAGCCAGUAGACACACAGAAGGAGAAAGGUAAAGCAGAGGGGACUUGCGGUCAGGAGAACCUGUUGAAUCCAGGCUGUGACAUAUUCUCUCUGUUUCAAGUAAAUAAUAACAAGUCAUUGUUAUAAGAAGGUAUGUGGAAGGACUUGACAACAUGAUGAACAAGAUGAACAUCUCCAUGGACCACAAGUAGAACUAGAAGACUGUAGGAUGAGGUCAAGAGGCAUCCGGACUUCAGAAACUGAAGUGGGAAGCUAUUGGUCCCCGUCAUCACCCCACUCCUGAUACUGUUGGGAACUUCCUGUGUAGAAUGUGGGAUGGCUUCCCAGGGAAAAGAUAUUCAGAUGAGGAGGGAUGGAAGAAGUGAGCAGCCAUUUCUGCUUGGAUAGCAGUGAGUGGACAGGACUGUUUCCUCGAAGAAAGAGGUGGGUGUUACAUUCUGACUAACUCAUGGAAUAGGAGUAAGCAUGCAUGAAAGAGAAAGAGACAUAAGCAUGGCUGAAUUUAGACAUUCAUACUCCUCAGUGUCUCUUA
rnacentral:lncRNA from 1 species